AACGAACGCUGGCGGCGUGUUUAAGACAUGCAAGUCGCACGGGAUAAGACAUGUAGUAAUACUUGUUUUAUUUAGUGGCGCACGGGUGAGUAACACGUGAAUUACAUGCGCUAUAGUGGGGAAUAGCCCAGGGAAACUUGGAUUAAUACCCCAUGGUAUCGAAAGAUUAAAGGUGGCUGCAAGGCUGUCGCUAUAGGAUUGGUUCGCGCCCUACCAGCUUGGUGGUGAGGUAACGGCUAACCAAGGCAAUGACGGGUACCUGGUCUGAGAGGACGAUCAGGCACACUGGAACUGAGACACGGUCCAGACACCUACGGGUGGCAGCAGUCGAGAAUAAUUCACAAUGGGGGCAACCCUGAUGGUGCAACGCCGCGUGGAGGAUGACGGUCUUCGGAUUGUAAACUCCUGUCAUCUGGGAGAAAGACCUGACGGUAAAUAGCCGGCAGGGUUGAUAGUACCAGAAGAGGAAGGGACGGCUAACUUCGUGCCAGCCGCCGCAGUAA
rnacentral:rRNA from 1 species